CAGAGGGUGCAAACGUUGUUCGGAUUUACUGGGCGUAAAGCGCGUGUAGGCGGCUUUGCAAGUCGGAUGUGAAAGCCCACGGCUCAACCGUGGAAGUGCAUCCGAAACUGCAUGGCUUGAGUCUCGGAGAGGAAGGUGGAAUGCUUGGUGUAGAGGUGAAAUUCGUAGAUAUCAAGCAGAACACCUGCGGCGAAGGCGGCCUUCUGGACGAUGACUGACGCUGAGACGCGAAAGCGUGGGGAGCAAACAGG
rnacentral:rRNA from 1 species